rnacentral:rRNA from 1 species
GGUGACCGUCCUCCCGAAGGUUAAACUANCCACUUCUUUUGCAUCCCACUCCCAUGGUGUGACGGGCGGUGUGUACAAGGCCCGGGAACGUAUUCACCGUAGCAUUCUGAUCUACGAUUACUAGCGAUUCCGACUUCACGGAGUCGAGUUGCAGACUCCGAUCCGGACUACGACAAGCUUUGUGGGAUUCGCUCCACCUCGCGGUAUUGCUGCCCUCUGUACCUGCCAUUGUAGCACGUGUGUAGCCCAUCCCGUAAGGGCCAUGAUGACUUGACAUCGUCCCCACCUUCCUCCGGUUUAUCACCGGCAGUCUCCUUAGAGUUCUCGCCAUUACGCGCUAGCAAAUAAGGAUAGGGGUUGCGCUCGUUGCGGGACUUAACCCAACAUUUCACAACACGAGCUGACGACAGCCAUGCAGCACCUGUCUCAGAGUUCCCGAAGGCACACGUCUAUCUCUAGUCGCUUCUCUGGAUGUCAAGGGAUGGUAAGGUUCUUCGCGUUGCAUCGAAUUAAACCACAUGCUCCACCGCUUGUGCGGGCCCCCGUCAAUUCAUUUGAGUUUUAACCUUGCGGCCGUACUCCCCAGGCGGUCAACUUAUUGCGUUAGCUGCGCUACCCACAGAUCAAGUCUACAGACAGCUAGUUGACAUCGUUUACGGCGUGGACUACCAGGGUAUCUAAUCCUGUUUGCUCCCCACGCUUUCGUGCCUCAGCGUCAGUAUCUGUCCAGGUGGCCGCCUUCGCCACUGAUGUUCCUUCCAAUCUCUACGCAUUUCACCGCUACACUGGAAAUUCCACCACCCUCUACAGUACUCUAGACAACCAGUUUCAAAUGCAGUUCCGAGGUUGAGCCCCGGGAUUUCACAUCUGACUUAGCAAUCCGCCUACGCACGCUUUACGCCCAGUAAUUCCGAUUAACGCUCGCACCCUCCGUAUUACCGCGGCUGCUGGCACGGAGUUAGCCGGUGCUUCUUCUGUUGCUAACGUCACAGCUAGCAG